rnacentral:rRNA from 1 species
AGUGAACGCUGGCGGUAGGCCUAACACAUGCAAGUCGAACGGCAGCACAGUAAGAGCUUGCUCUUACGGGUGGCGAGUGGCAGACGGGUGAGGAAUACAUCGGAAUCUACUUUUUCGUGGGGGAUAACGUAGGGAAACUUACGCUAAUACCGCAUACGACCUACGGGUGAAAGCAGGGGAUCUUCGGACCUUGCGCGAUUGAAUGAGCCGAUGUCGGAUUAGCUAGUUGGCGGGGUAAAGGCCCACCAAGGCGACGAUCCGUAGCUGGCCUGAGAGGAUGAUCAGCCACACUGGAACUGAGACACGGUCCAGACUCCUACGGGAGGCAGCAGUGGGGAAUAUUGGACAAUGGGCGCAAGCCUGAUCCAGCCAUACCGCGUGGGUGAAGAAGGCCUUCGGGUUGUAAAGCCCUUUUGUUGGGAAAGAAAAGCAGCAGGUUAAUACCCCGCUGUUCUGACGGUACCCAAAGAAUAAGCACCGGCUAACUUCGUG